GGGCCGCGCCCAGCACCGGCACCCCGACGGCACCCGGGCACCGGCGGGGCUCCUCCUCGCUCUCUGCUAUGGACAGUGCCAUCACCCUGUGGCAGUUCCUCCUCCAGCUGCUGCAAGAGCCCCAGAACAAGAACAUCAUCUGCUGGACCUCCACCGACGGGGAAUUCAAGCUGCUGCAGGCAGAGGAGGUGGCCAGGCUCUGGGGGAUCCGCAAGAACAAGCCCAGCAUGAACUAUGAUAAACUCAGCCGGGCGCUGCGCUACUACUACGUGAAGAACAUCAUCAAGAAGGUGAACGGGAAGAAGUUUGUGUACAAAUUCGUGUCCUACCCCGAGAUCCUCAACAUGGACCCGCUUGUGGUGGGCAGGAUGGAGGGGGACCCCGAGGUGCCCGGCUUUGGGGAGGUCCCCAGCGCCCCCAAGGAGGCCGAGAGCUGCGGCAAGGAGAAAUCGCAGCCGUGCGCCAAGUCCUCGAGCCGCAACGACUACAUCCACUCAGGCCUCUACUCCUCCUUCACCCUCAACUCCCUCAACUCCUCCGGCGUGAAGCUCUUCAGGUCCAUCAAGAUCGAGAACCCGGCCGAGAAGCUGGCGGAGAAGAAACCUCAGGACGCCGCCCCUUCUGUCAUCAAGUUUGUCACCGUGCCCUCCAAGAAGCCGCCCUCCGCCCCGCUGGCGUCGGCCGCCUCGGCCGUGGCCGUCACCUCCGCGGCCUCCGCCGCCCCCGGCGCGGCCUCCUCGCUGCCGCUGGGCUCCGAGGAGACUCUGCACACGCUGGAGACUCUGGUGCUGCCCAAGCUGAGCGUCCCCGAGGCCCCUCCGGCGCCUUUGCCGAGCCUGAGCGCCAGCUACGCCCCCACGCCCCCCGUCGCCUCGGUUUCCCCCGCGCUCCAGGCGCCCUCCACGCCGCCCUCGCCGCCGCUGAGCUCCAACCCCGAGCUGGACAUUGACACGGACAUCGAGUCCGUGGCCUCCCAGCAGCUGGAGCAGGCCCAGAGCCUGCAGCAGCCGUCCCCAGAGCCCAAGGAGCAGCAGGAUUCAGCUGGGCUGGAGAAGGAGUUUGCCAAUCACCUCUCCAGGGCCAAAAAACCCAAAGGGCUGGAGCUGGCCCCCACCCUGGUCAUCACCGGCAGCGACCCCAGCCCGCUGGGCAUCCUCAGCCCUUCCCUCCCAACCGCUUCUCUGACUCCAGCACUUUUCUCUCAGACCCCCAUCCUGCUGACCCCCAGCCCGCUGCUCUCCAGCAUCCACUUCUGGAGCACCCUGAGCCCCGUGGCGCCGCUGAGCCCCGCCCGCCUGCAGGGCGCCAACACCCUCUUCCAGUUUCCAUCCGUGCUGAACAGUCAUGGCCCAUUUACCCUGUCUGGGCUGGAUGGACCCUCCACCCCCGGCCCCUUUUCCCCAGACCUGCAGAAGACAUAGCACAAGGAAUUCAUCCAUCCCUGCACAAGGACACAGCAAGGCAAGCACGGGACAUUUCAUUUUUUUUUUAAAAAAAACAAGCAGUUUGUAAUUCCACUGAGAUUCUCAACACUUGGAGUUGGAGUUGUUGCCGUUCCCGAAUCCAAAAAAAAACAAAAAAAAAAUGACAAAAAAAAGCCUUUUUUGUGCAAAAAUUCCCCAUUUUUUUGGAAGAACCCAGGUUGGGAAUGUAUAUGCAAACGCCUUAAUAGGAGCUGCAGCUCCAAUUUUUUUCUCCUCCUCCUCACUUUGGAAAAAUUUUUUUCCCUGCAUCCAAAAGGGAUUUUUGGGUGGUGUUGCAGCGACUGAGCCUGCACAAACAGCACCGGAGGAGGUUUGUCUCUGUGACUUUUGGAAAAAAAACAAACAAAAAACAAACAAAAAACAAACAAAAAACAAACAAAAAACAAACCAAACCCUCUGUUCUUCAGCAAGGAGAACCCUGAAUCCUGAUGGAAGCUGGAAUUCCAGGAAAAGUUUGGGAAUAUUGGAGUUUGUGCUGCCAGCUCUGCCCUGAGGGCGCCACAACUUUUGUGCAGCAUCAAAAGCACCAGAACUUCUCUGCUGCCUUUGUCUUUAUUUGUAUUUUAUUUUUUUUUUUCCUUCAAGGAUUUAUUCCAGAUUUAUAUCCAGGACAAUUCUGUGGAGAGAAGAUUUGGGGCUGGAUUUUGGGUAUUUCCCCUCCCACGAGGGGUGGGAUGAGCUCCUUUCGCUUCUCACAGACUUUCAAUGCUGGAGUCCAAACAUUUCUUGUGCCACAGCCUGGGAGCUCCAUGCUGGAUCAGCAGGGUGGGAGGAUUUUAUCUGCAAUUUUGGGAGGUUUUUCUUGCAAUUUUGGGAGGUUUUCCUGCAGUUUGGGAGGUUUUCCUGCAGUUCUGGGGGGUUUUUCUUGGAAUUUUGGGAGUUUUCCCUGCAGUUCUGGGAGGUUUUUCUGCAAUAUUGGGAGGUUUUUCUUGGAAUUUUGGGAGGUUUUCCUGCAGUUUUGGGAGGUUUUUCCUGAGUUUUAGGGGUUUUCCUGCAGUUCUGGGAGGUUUUUCUUGGAAUUUUGGGAGGUUUUUCUUGCAAUUUUGGGAGGUUUUCCUGCAGUUUUGGGAGGAUUUUCUUGCAAUUUUGGGAGGUUUUUCUUGGAAUUUUGGGAGGUUUUCCUGCAGUUUUGGGAGGUUUUUCCUGAGUUUUAGGGGUUUUCCUGCAGUUUUGGGAGGUUUUCCUGCAAUUUUGGGGGGUUUUCCUGCAGUUUGGGAGGGUUUUCCUGCAGUUUUGAGGGAUUUCUCUUGGGUUUUGGGGGACUUUCCUUGGUUUUUGGGGAAUUUCCCCUUGGUUUGGGGGAAUUUUCCCUGGAUUUUAGGGGAGGUUGCUGUCUGACUGCAAUUCCAGAGCCCAGCAUUAGUGUUGCUCUUCUUCCCCCACAGUUCUGGAAAAUUUUCCUGCUUUUCCCCACAUGGAAAACUCCUUUUUUUCCACCUCUUACCCCAAGUUUUGCAGUGGAACUGUUGAUUUUGGGGUUGUUUUUUGGCCCCAAACCAGGCUGAAUUUAAAAAUUCCCCUAAAACUGCUCUUCUUCCCUCACAGUUCUGGAAAAUUUUCCUUAUUUUCCUCACAAAAAUUCCCCUAAAACUGCUCUUCUUCCCUCACAGUUCUGGAAAAUUUUCCUUAUUUUCCUCACAAAAAUUCCCCUAAAACUGCUCUUCUUCCCCCACAGUUCUGGAAAAUUUUCCUGAUUUUCCCCACAAAAAUUCCCCUAAAACUGCUCUUCUUCCCCCACAGUUCUGGAAAAUUUUCCUUAUUUUCCUCACAAAAAUUCCCCUAAAACUGCUCUUCUUCCCUCACAGUUCUGGAAAAUUUUCCUGAUUUUCCUCACAAAAAUUCCCCUAAAACUGCUCUUCCCUCACAGUUCUGGAAAAUUUUCCUGCUUUUCCCCACAUGGAAAACUCCUCUUUUCCCAGUUUUUACCCCAAGUUUUGCAGUGGAACUGUUGAUUUUGGGGUUGUUUUUUAGGCCCCAAACCAGGCUGAGGGUUUAAUAACCUCGUGGUAAAUCAGUUUUUACCUCCUUGCUGUGCUGGAUUCCUGAUUUUCCAGAGCCAGUGGGGGUGAGAUGGAAUUUGCAGGUGGAUUUUCCUCCACCUCAGGAGGCCUUUUAAGAAAACUGAGGGGCGAAAAAUGAGAAUUUUUCCUCCCUCAUCCCCUCAGUGUGGGAUUGUUGGGCUGUGGCUUUGUGUCUUUCCACAUUUGGGACAUCUGAUGUCAGGCUUUGAGUUGGGGCUGCCAGAGGAUUUUCCCCAUUAAAAAUUCCCAGAAAACUGCUCUUCUUCCCCCACAGUUCUGGAAAAUUUUCCUUAUUUUCCUCACAAAACUUCCCCUAAAACUGCUCUUCUUCCCUCACAGUUCUGGAAAAUUUUCCUUAUUUUCCUCACAAAAAUUCCCCUAAAACUGCUCUUCUUCCCCCACAGUUCUGGAAAAUUUUCCUGCUUUUCCCCACAAAAAAAUUCCCAGAAAACUGCUCUUCUUCCCUCACAGUUCUGGAAAAUUUUCCUGAUUUUCCUCACAAAAAUUCCCAGAAAACUGCUCUUCUUCCCUCACAGUUCUGGAAAAUUUUCCUGAUUUUCCUCACAAAAAUUCCCCUAAAACUGCUCUUCUUCCCUCACAGUUCUGGAAAAUUUUCCUGCUUUUCCCCACAUGGAAAACUCCUUUUUUUCCACCUCUUACCCCAAGUUUUGCAGUGGAACUGUUGAUUUUGGGGUAGUUUUUUGGCCCCAAACCAGGCUGAAUUUAAAAAUUCCCCUAAAACUGCUCUUCUUCCCUCACAGUUUUGGAAAAUUUUCCUGAUUUUCCCCACAUGGAAAACUCUUUUUCCCAGUUUUGCAGUGGAACUUUUGAUUUUGGGGUUGUUUUUUAGGCCCCAAACCAGGCUGAGGGUUUAACCUCAUGGUAAAUCAGUUUUUACCUCCUUGCUGUGCUGGAUUCCUGAUUUUCCAGAGCCAGUGGAGGUGAGAUGGAAUUUGCAGGUGGAUUUUCCUCCACCUCAGGAGGCCUUUUAAGAAAACUGAGGGGCGAAAAAUGAGAAUUUUUCCUCUCUCAUCCCCUCAGUGUGGGAUUGUUGGGCUGUUGGUUUUUGUCUUUCCACAUUUGGGGCAUCUGAUGUCAGGCUUUGAGUUGGGGGUGUCAGAGGAUUUUCCCCCAUUAAAAAUUCCCAGAAAACUGCUCUUCUUCCCCCACAGUUCUGGAAAAUUUUCCUGCUUUUCCCAACAAAAAAAUUCCCAGAAAACUGCUCUUCUUCCCUCACAGUUCUGGAACAUUUUCCUUAUUUUCCUCACAAAAAUUCCCCUAAAACUGCUCUUCUUCCCUCACAGUUCUGGAAAAUUUUCUGAUUUUCCCCACAAAAAUUCCCCUAAAACUGCUCUUCUUCCCCCACAGUUCUGGAAAAUUUUCCUGCUUUUCCCCACAUGGAAAACUCUUUUUCCCAGUUUUGCAGUGGAACUGUUGAUUUUGGGGUUGUUUUUUGGCCCCAAACCAGGCUGAAUUUAAAAAUUCCCCUAAAACUGCUCUUCUUCCCUCACAGUUUUGGAAAAUUUUCCUGAUUUUCCCCACAUGGAAAACUCUUUUUCCCAGUUUUGCAGUGGAACUGUUGAUUUUGGGGUUGUUUUUUAGGCCCCAAACCAGGCUGAGGGUUUAACCUGGUGGUAAAUCAGUUUUUACCUCCUUGCUGUGCUGGAUUCCUGAUUUUCCAGAGCCAGUGGGGGUGAGAUGGAAUUUGCAGGUGGAUUUUCCUCCACCUCAGGAGGCCUUUUAAGAAAACUGAGGGGCGAAAAAUGAGAAUUUUUCCUCCCUCAUCCCCUCAGUGUGGAUUUUCGGGCUGUGGCUUUGUGUCUUUCCACACUGAGAGGUUUUUCCCCAUAAAAAUUCCCAGGAAACAGAUGGAAACUUCUCUUCCUUCAGGAAGAUUUUAUUUUCCCCGUGCAGCACCAGGAGCUGGCAGAGUUUGCUGUAAAUAACUGCACCUAUUCCAUGGAAAACUCAAAACUUUCCCAGAGUUUUUCUUUUUUUUUUCUGCCACUUUUGCAGGCUUGGAAUUCCCUUUAAAAGCCACAACACCCAGGAUUUUCCUUUGACGUUUCCCUUUCUAUAUCCUGACAUUGAAAAACAACAAAAAAACCCCAAAAAUCCCACUUUUGUGUAUUCCUGAUGUGACAGGUGGGUGGAAUAUUUUUUUAUUUUUUGGGGCAUUGUUCACCUGCCCAGGGGGAAAAGUGGGAGGAAAAAAAAAAGAUAAAAAAAUUCAAUUUUCAGGUGGGGAAGUAGGGAGUGAGCUCAAGGAGGCAAAAAAUGCUUCACAUUUUGACAUCAGCACCUGCAGGAGGAAAUUCCUGCACCAGCAGCUUUUAAAAUGUGCAAUAUUGAACCUUUUUUAUUUUCAUUUUAUUUUCAUUUUAUUUUUUUGGAACGCGGGAGCGAAGCUGCGGCCGAUCACGGAGAUCUGGAAUUAUUAUUUUUUGUUUUUAUUUUUGCUCUGCGUGUUCGGAGCCUGCUCUGGGAAAUUUCUGGAGCUGUUUGUAAAUAAAUUGCAGCACUUUGCUUGGUUCAGGUUGGUUUGAUGCCUACCAAAUAAUAACUUGGACUUUUUUGACAUUUUGCAGGCUGGGAUUUGAAUUGAAAAUUCAUCAGUGAGCACUAAAAAAUUUGCAAUUUAAUUGCUUCCCUUUCCCCCUUUAUUCCCUUUGUGGAGAAAAGCCAAUUUAGCUGUUGUAAAAUUAAUUGUGCACUUAAUUGUGUUUUUUUAUAGCUUUGGACAGAGGGUUAAGCCCCCCCCCCAAAAAAUAAUAAUAAUAAUAUUUGUGGGCUCCUCUCCAAGAAAGUUCCACAGAAAUCCAGAUUUUCCCUGUGGAAAUGAAGCUUGGAUGGGAAAAAUUUCCACCAGGUAAAGCAGGAAAAAUAAAAAAAUGAGGCGGGAAAAAUAAAAAAGUGAGGGAGGAAAAAUAAAAAUGAGGGAGGAAAAAUAAAAAUGAGGGAGGAAAAAUAAAACAGGGAGGA